UACAGAGGGUGCAAGCGUUAUCCGGAUUCACUGGGUUUAAAGGGUGCGUAGGUGGGCAGGUAAGUCAGUGGUGAAAUCUCCGGGCUUAACCCGGAAACUGCCAUUGAUACUAUCUGUCUUGAAUACCGUGGAGGUGAGCGGAAUAUGUCAUGUAGCGGUGAAAUGCUUAGAUAUGACAUAGAACACCAAUUGCGAAGGCAGCUCACUAGCGCGAAUAUUGACACUGAGGCACGAAAGCGUGGGGAUCAAACAGG
rnacentral:rRNA from 1 species